rnacentral:lncRNA from 10 species
GGGUUUCUGCCCAGCUCACCCGCUGUCAGCUGGGGUCCUGCUCUGGUGGGAGGAAGAGGCUCAGACGCUUCCCUGCCCUCUCGCCUCAACCACCUCGAGGCAGCGGCUCCCAGGAUGUGCACUUUGACGACUAAAGCUGAGCCGGCGCCGCCACGACCUUGGGCGGGUGGUCGGCCUCUGCCCUGAGCAGGAAGUAGAAAGUCUCAGCAGACCCUUCCUGAGGGCCGAGCAACAGUGUAGUGGCGUAUUCCACAUAGCAAACAGAUGUACACUAGAUUUUGAUGGCAUUUUUCCAGGGACCCUGGGAGCAUCUGUGUUCUCGUGUUCUUCUUGCCUGUGAGGCCUCUUCUCUCUGAGGACAGAUGGUAGGACAGAGAGAAGACAGCAAAUGGAAAACAAAGGCUGCUAUUUUUUUGUGGGGCAGGCAGCAUUUCUUCCUGUGACAAUAUGGUGUAAGACAAAAUUGUGGCCUGCCAUGAAGUUGUGAGAGAAAAGCAUCCCUCAUUUCUUCAGGAAAGGCCACUGCCGUUCCCUCCGGCUCCUCUUCUCAGGAGUUUGUGCAUUCAUGAGGUGAAUUCCUUGGAAGAUGAGGGCCAAGUCUUAUUCUUCUCAGUCUCUUCUGCAUCUAGCAGAAGAAUAAUGGUUGCACAGAAAAUCUUGGUUCAGUGGUUGAGUGAAUGAAUGGAUGAACAGGCUCUUGCACACAAAGAAGAGACAUGAUGUAUUUGCAUCCUUCCCUGCUUCAGCCAGGUCCCCAGACAGUCCCGGUGUGCACACUUCCCUGCUUCUGUUCAUGAUGUUCUCUGAACCUGGGAUCACCUUUCCCCUUCCUCUUACCUGCCCGAUCCUACUUGUCCUCCCAGAUUCAG